CAGCCGCCGCGGUAAUACGGAGGGUGCAAGCGUUGUCCGGAUUUAUUGGGUUUAAAGGGUGCGUAGGCGGCUAUUUAAGUCAGCGGUGAAAGACUCCGGCUCAACCGGAGCAGUGCCAUUGAUACUGGAUAGCUUGAGUGUUGGAGGGGUACAUGGAAUUGAUGGUGUAGCGGUGAAAUGCAUAGAUACCAUCAGGAACACCGAUAGCGAAGGCAUUGUACUGGCCAACAACUGACGCUGAGGCACGAAAGCAUGGGGAGCGAACAGGAUUAGAUACCCGAGUAGUCCCUGUCUCUUAUAC
rnacentral:rRNA from 1 species